AUUCCAUGGCGAGGGCAAGCCAAGAGAUACCCUUGGAAGUGCUAUCAUGCUUCAGGGAUUGACUCAUCUGACGCCUGCUGGAAAUUAGUUAUCCUUCCAUGAAGAGC
rnacentral:snoRNA from 1 species